rnacentral:sRNA from 1 species
UAAAAAAAAAAUCUUAAAAAUAUAUGCAAAUACAAAAAAAAAAUAACAAUAAAAAAAAAAACAAAUAUUAAAAAAUAAAAAUAGAUAAAUCUGUUUUUAUUUUUUAUUUCAGUUCUUGAGAUUUGAGAUUUGAUUGGCAUCAAAGUAAACGAAA